rnacentral:rRNA from 1 species
AGUGAACGCUGGCGGUAGGCCUAACACAUGCAAGUCGAACGGCAGCACAGUAAGAGCUUGCUCUUACGGGUGGCGAGUGGCGGACGGGUGAGGAAUACAUCGGAAUCUACUUUUUCGUGGGGGAUAACGUAGGGAAACUUACGCUAAUACCGCAUACGACCUACGGGUGAAAGCAGGGGAUCUUCGGACCUUGCGCGAUUGAAUGAGCCGAUGUCGGAUUAGCUAGUUGGCGGGGUAAAGGCCCACCAAGGCGACGAUCCGUAGCUGGUCUGAGAGGAUGAUCAGCCACACUGGACCUGAGACACGCUCCAGACUCCUACGGGAGGCAGCAGUGGGGAAUAUUGGACAAUGGGCGCAAGCCUGAUCCAGCCAUACCGCGUGGGUGAAGAAGGCCUGCGGGUGGUAAAGCCCUUUUGUUGGGAAAGAAAAGCAGCAGGUUAAGACCCCGCUGUUCUGACGGUACCCAAAGAAUAAGCACCGGCUAACUUCGU